UACGUAGGUGGCAAGCGUUGUCCGGAAUUAUUGGGCGUAAAGCGCGCGCAGGCGGUCCUUUAAGUCUGAUGUGAAAGCCCACGGCUCAACCGUGGAGGGUCAUUGGAAACUGGGGGACUUGAGUGCAGAAGAGGAAGUGGAAUUCCACGUGUAGCGGUGAAAUGCGUAGAGAUGAUGGAGGAACACCAGUGGCGAAGGCGACUUUCUGGUCUGUAACUGACGCUGAGGCGCGAAAGCGUGGGAGCAAACAGG
rnacentral:rRNA from 1 species